rnacentral:rRNA from 1 species
CUGUGCAAAGGUAGCAUAAUCAUUAGUUUUUUAAAUGAGAACUGGAAUGAAAGGUUGGAUAAGAAAAAUUCUGUCUUAAUUUUAAUAUUAUAAUUUUAUUUUUAAGUUAAAAAGCUUAAAUUUUUUAAAAAGACGAGAAGACCCUAUAGAGUUUAAUUUAAUUAUUUAUAAUUAUAUAUUAGAUUUUUAAAUUUAUUUUAUGAAUAAUAAAAUUUUGUUGGGGUGAUGUAAAAAUUUAAAUAACUUUUUAUUUAUUAAAACAUAAAUUAAUGAUUAAUAGAUCCUAAUUUUUUGGAUUAAAAGAAUAAAUUACCUUAGGGAUAACAGCGUAAUUUUUUUUAGAGUUCUUAUUAAAAAAAAAGUUUGCGACCUCGAUGUUGGAUUAAAGUUAAAUUUUGGUGUAGAAGCUAAAAGUUUAGGUCUGUUCGACCUUAAAAACU